GAUGAACGCUAGCGGCAGGCCUAACACAUGCAAGUCGAGGGGUAGCAGGAUUAAGCUUGCUUAAUUGCUGACGACCGGCGCACGGGUGCGUAACGCGUAUGCAACCUACCUUAUACUGGGGUAUAGCCCGGAGAAAUUCGGAUUAAUCCCCCAUAGUACUAAUGAAUCGCAUGGUUUAUUAGUUAAAGCAUUGCGGUAUAAGAUGGGCAUGCGUCCUAUUAGCUAGAUGGUGAGGUAACGGCUCACCAUGGCUACGAUAGGUAGGGGGCCUGAGAGGGUGGUCCCCCACACUGGUACUGAGACACGGACCAGACUCCUAGGGGAGGCAGAAGUGAGGAAUAUUGGUCAAUGGGCGCAAGCCUGAACCAGCCAUGCCGCGUGCAGGAAGAAUGCCCUAUGGGUUGUAAACUGCUUUUAUUUGGAAAUAACCCUCUUUACGUGUAGAGAGCUGAAGGUACCAAAUGAAUAAGCACCGGCUAACUCCGUGCCAGCCGCCGCCGUAA
rnacentral:rRNA from 1 species